UACGUAGGCAGCGAGCGUUGUUCGGAGUUACUGGGCGUAAAGGGUGUGUAGGCGGUUUUCUAAGUUUGGUGUGAAAUCUCCCGGCUCAACCGGGAGGGUGCGCCGAAAACUGGGAGACUAGAGUGCGGGAUGGGAGAGUAGAAUUCCUGGUGUAGCGGUGAAAUGCGCAGAUAUCGGGAAGAACACCCGUGGCGAAGGCGGUUCUCUGGGACGGUACUGACGCUGAGACGCGAAAGCGUGGGGAGCGAACAGG
rnacentral:rRNA from 1 species